AGAAUAUUUCGAUUAAAGUCAGAAUAUAAUAUUUGUAAAUCUGACUCUGAAAGAGUCAGUGCCUCACCAGCCAUGAACCACACCGCACGUCACUGAUAUAGUGUAGUAUCAAUGCAAUACAAAUCAAUGAAAAGUAAAUAUAACGUCAUAAAAAAGCUUUGUUGAAUACUAUAGACACUUGCUUUGUUUUAUUCCUUCAUCUCACAAAGCUACAGAAGAUUAUGUUAUCAGAUCGCACACACACACUUCCAGCAGAAAUACAAAACAUCUUUCAUCUGCCUGACACCAAGUGAUAGCUGUACAGUGUGUAUCGUGAUGUAGCAGCAAAACAUAUGUUAUAGUCUUGUCUACUGACUUAGUUUAUCAGGUCCAACAUCAGCCCUCAGUUCUUCUUUCAAACUACUUCAACUGCCUCAGGCAAAGAUCCUCACCACCCAUUUCACAAUGUUGCUUUGAGGGCAGAUGAGUAAUUAAACAUGUAAAAGGUGGAUAACACUUCCAAUUACACUCACCUAUGAUUGAUAAUGACACUAAAUACUCUUUUGAGCACAUUUGAAAGCCAUUCUAGCAAUACAGGCACAUAUUUGACAGCUCCUACCUCCGGGAGUCACCACGCCUUUGAAGACACAGAUGUUUUCCCCUCCGUUGACCUGCUGGAGUACUUUCAGCUCAUCUUGAGUUGACCCCAACCCUGACCCCCGACGACCUUGUCCCAGGUAAGGACAGGACUGACUCAGCGUCCCUCUGAGUGAACUUAGACUCGACGCCUUCGUUGUGAUGGCUGGCAGGUAAACAUCGUCUUUACCUGUUCUGCUCGGACGGGUUGUUGCAUCAUCCAGCUUUUAAGGGUACAACAAAUGAUAAAGGGGUGAAUCCAUCUCACACCAUAUUUUGAUCUUAAUGUAAACCCUAUAACCUUCUUUAACAGCACAAAAAGCAUACUGAAAGUAAUACUUUUUUAUUAUUAAUUCACGUAAAUCGCUUUAUAUCAUGGCAUGAGGAAAUUAAAAGUAGUUAUUGCUGAUACCGUAACAUUAACUUGUUGAAAUGAAUAAUGAUAAAUAAAUGAAAUAAAUCAUAAUAGUUGAACAAAAUACAUAAAUAUAGAUAACAUGACAAUAAAAUCAAACAUCUUCGUAAUUAGAAAAGAACAAACUAACAUUUUGAAAGCAUUUGUGGUCAUAAAAACUCAUUAUCUGUGAAAAAGCUGAAAGCCUACCUUGUAGAUCUCCACAGUGUCAGGGUUCUCGAGGACGAGGAGUUUGCUCUUCGCUCUGAUCAGGCUAGCGAUGGAGUGAAUCAUUUUAGCAUCUCUCCCGGGCUGAGCUGGGAUCUGAAAGUGAAACAACCCUUAGAGAAGCUAAAAGUAAGUGAGACAUGGAUCAUAAUAAACUUGAGUCAGACACUUACAGGGGUAUCUCUGUCUCCUCUGUGGACCCCUCUAUAAAAGAGAUCCUGGAGGAGACUCUGGCUGUUUCUCCUAGUUCUUCUCAUUGAUUACUAAGGAUAAAGAAAAAGAAAAUAUAUAUUUGAACACACAGCUCUUAAAAUACACCAUUUCAUGCUUUUAAAUAUAUGAUUUGACCUAAUGCUGCCUGAGGAUGACGGUAUGAACUGCUUAGACUACUGAGUGUACAGGUGGAAAUUAAUUAUGUCUUAACACCAAUAAUUUAGUUUCCCCACUGUUAACUUACAAACCUCCUUUGUUUGCAGACAGCCUGUCAGUGACGUAUCUGUAACAUAAUCACUUCGUACACAGCAGUGUCAUCUGCUGGGCUGCAGAGGAGGCAGCCGGCAGACAGCAGACCUGGGAUCAGAAGCCCCUGUAUGCAUGAGUUAGCCUCAGAUGGUCAAAUUCCAGAAAUAUGGGACUUGUGAUGAAGAAGGCUUUGAAGUUUCUCAGAUAAUCACUUUACUGCAGUAACCAUACCCACCAUAACCUUCCUUGCACCCGUUAGUGGCUGGAAAGAGAACAACCUAUUGCAGUUUCUCCCAGAGCAUCAGCACAACAAAAAUGCGGAAAAUAAACAACAAAUAGUUGCCAUUCAGUGGGACCAAAUGUCAUUCAUAUUGCCUUUGUACAAUUUAUCACUCACCUUUUUCAUUUCCAAUAAAGUAUUCAGAACGUUCACUUAAGUAAAAGAAGUAGCCUGUGAUGCACUAAAGAUUUUACUGAAAUAAAAUUACGAAAAAAUCAGCACAAAGAUGCAUACAAAAUAUAAGGAAUGAUAAAUGAGUGUAUUUUAAUCCUUUAGUUUGACAAAUGUUAUUUAUAUUAUACCUUAAAAGUUGUGUAAAUACAUUCUCAUCCUGAAGUUAUCUGUCUGUAACAUUUUGUGGAGUAGAAAAACAUUAACAUAUUUUCUUUAAAGUUUAAAAUAGUGGAUAAUGAAAAUAUUCAAGCAAUGUAAAGAACAAUGUAUAUAAGUACCCACCACUUUAAACAUGUUUUAAAUGUUAUUUAAAACUAAAAUUAUUCUGUGACAAACAGAUAAAACUAAAAUAGCAAUUCUUAGUACUGCUGUCUGAUAAAUACCUUUUUAAUAUGGUGUUUUUUAUUUUCCCCCUAAUCACCAUUUUCCCAUCAAACCCUGACAGGACAGAGAUCUUACCUGUUGUCUUGACCGGCUAAGCAGCUGAAUGUCUCUUUCCACCAGGCGAUCUGAUACCUCCAGGCUGUUGAUCUCCUGUUCUCUGCUCUCUUCACACGGCCAGCCGCUGACACCUGAGCAGCGGACACCUUUGGCACCGAGCCCCCCGCCUGCUGACACUGUUUCCUCAUCCAUCUUUAAUCUACCCAGACUUGGACAUGUGACGUCCUUUAUGAUUAUUUUUCUCAUAAAAAGCAACAUUAAGGUUUCAUCAUUUGGUUCAUUUGAAAUAUUUUGUGUGUCACUAUCUUGACCUCAGUUUUUCUCAGGUGACUGAUGCCAGUAUUUUUGCUAGCUGAAUCAUCGUUAAGCUGUGAAAACCUCUUAUAUUUGAUCACUUCCAUGCCAAAAAGUGGGUGAUUCAUUAUGAUUGGGAAACACAAAAGACAUUUUUGAACUCAGAAUAUUGAAGUGGAAACAUGUACGUCUGGUAAUAAGAGCACUAUUUUUACUAAAUUCUAGGACUGUUCAUUUUGUUUCCCCUCACUUCCAUUGAAAACAUGUUAGGAAAGUAUAACUUCCUGACCAGUAUCUCAUGGGUGAGCAGAGCACGUUGGACCCAAGUGAAGAGAGACAAUGGUUUAAACAGAAAAUUAAAUGUAUUCAAGGUUGACUGGAUAUACAGAGUACAGACCAGAACACUUCUUAUUAAACUCAAAGAAACCACAGAAAA